UAAACAAACUGGCUAGGAAAAUGUCUGAUUGGAAAAGACAAUUAUAAGUAUUCUUCAUGCUGAAGUAAAAUGCACUAUAGGUAGCUAAACUCUAUCUUUGUCUUUUUGUCACUUGAAGAAAACAGCAGGGGAGCCCCUUUCUAGUCCUGAAAUUCCGGAUCUAUGAGUCAGAGGGAAAAACAAACUGUCCCAGUUGAUAAGGAGGAAAGAAAAAAGUGAAAUAGGCUGCCUCUUUUAUGAGCUCUCCCUGCCAGGACGGUGAAUGGGCUACCUGGGGUGGUGGCCCAGAAACAUUCCUGCAAGCAAACAAAAGCCUCCCCCCAGGAAAGGUUUCUGAUCACUGCUGGUCCAAGGCUCAGCCGCAACAGAGGGCUCUGACCCCCACAGGACUUGGCCAGACACUUCAAGAUCCCAUCUGGCAAUCAAGCAUGAGAAUUCAGCCCUGUGAAGUCAAUCUUAUCUUCUUUUGAUGAAGCUGAGCAAAUGGACUCUGAGAUAAAGUAAUUUCAUUCCAUCAUGUUGAACAAGCCUAAAAUGUAUCAUGAUCUGCAUUGUCUUCUGUAUGAAUGGCAAUCUCUGGAGUUGUGCAACCCAGGAUCAAGAGUGACUUGCCCAGGGCUAUGCUGCCAGUAAGGGAUGGUCUCUGGAUUUGGAAGCAAGGUCUCUCAGACUUUGGCCUCCCUGGAAAAGCCCUGCUGUCCCCUCACCCCCACCACCUCAAGUGUUCUGUUACCAGACAUCUCUCCGCAGGGAUCAGAACCUCCCUUCUGCAGGGAGAAGUGAGUCUUCCACUGCGCUGCCAUCAAGGAGGUGUCAGAACCCUGAGCUCUUCUAGACAGACCUCAGCUGUUGAACAUGUGAAGAACAUGCCUUUCUGCAGAUGAUGAAGUGGGAUGUUGGGGAUGAGAAAGCAGAGGCAGAAAAGUCUGAGGCAUGCCCCCCACAAUUCAGCAGACUGUGGGGUAGUGGCACUCAUAGCUAGGAUGACCAGCUCAUCCCAGUUUUCUCAGGACUUUCCUUGUUUUAGCAUUGAAAGUCCCACAUCCAGGGACAACCUUCAAUCCCAGUCAAGGGAGAUGGUUAAUGUCUUGGUCAGCUUGAGCUGCCAUAACAAAAUCCCAUGAUGGAAUAAAACAACAGACAAAUUUCUUUCUCACAGUUUUCCAACAUCGAGGUGCUGGCCAAUUUGGUUUCUGUUGAAUGCUCUCUCCCUGGCUUGUAGAAAGCAUCUUCCUAGCGUGUGCUCAUGUGGGCUUUCCCUGGUGUGUGCACAUGGAGAAAAAGUAAGAAAAAGAGGGAGAACAAGAGACAGGAAGAAAGAGAGUGCGCUCAGGAGAAUGCUCCAACGUCUCUUCUUAAAGGACAUUAAUCCUGUCAUGGGGGCCCUACCCUCAUGACCUCAUCUAACCCUAAAUACCUCCAAAAGUCUAUCUCCAGAUACAGCUACAUUGGGGUUUCAACAUUUGGAUUUUGGGUAGACACAGUUCAGUCCACAGCAGUUGAAUAACCUACUUGCAGCCAAAUCCCUCUUCUCAACCCCUGGUCCCCGAGAUGCCCAAGGGGAGAAGGCUAUCUAUUCUUCCAGAAACCCACUCAGCCACAACAGCUAGUAGAUGAAUACCUUGCACUGGAGUUUCUGGUUUUUUCCAGAUUCCAGGCCUAAGGAACCCUAAGUGGUGCCUGGCUUUCGUUUCCAAGGCAGAGUCUCCUAAGAGUGGGCUGGGUAGGGAGGGUGAUCCUCAAAACUCCUAGUUGCUAUGGAUAAGGUUCUGAGAGACCACACAUCUGUACACAAAGUCACACCCAAAUGCUUCUUUUGUGGGCCUUUCCAGAUGCCCCAGUCAAGAGGGAGAAAAGGCAAGGAGGCUGUGCAUAGACCAGGGCUAGAAUCCUGGCUAACACUCACAGCCUGCAUAACUUCCCCGUGCCUCAGCUUUCUUUCCUGUAAAAUGGGGAUGCAUUAUAAGGGUUAGAAUAAAAUGGGUUUCAAGUGUUUGGCACCUAGUAAUUGUUCAGUAAAUGGUAAUCAUCUUUAUUUCUCUCCUGCCUACCUUGCAUUCCCUCCAUUCCCCCUCCCCUACCUUUCCCAUUUUUUCAUUCAUUCAACAAGUACUUAUUGAAUAACUACUAUGCUGUAGUCACUGGGGAUGCAGGAGUAAAUAAAACAGUUUCUCCCUCCAAGAAACUUACAUCACGGCCUGAAAAAACUAAAAGAAAAAUAAAUAUGAAAAUAAAUAUGAAAGUGAC
rnacentral:lncRNA from 10 species